CCUACGGGGGGCAGCAGUAGGGAAUCUUCCACAAUGGGCGCAAGCCUGAUGGAGCAACACCGCGUGAGUGAAGAAGGGUUUCGGCUCGUAAAGCUCUGUUGUUGGAGAAGAACGUGCGUGAGAGUAACUGUUCACGCAGUGACGGUAUCCAACCAGAAAGUCACGACUAACUACGUGCCAGCAGCCGCGGUAAUACGUAGGUGGCAAGCGUUAUCCGGUUUUAUUGGGAGUAAAGCGAGCGCAGGCGGUUGCUUAGGUCUAAUGUGAAAGGCUUCGGCUUAACCGAAGAAGUGCAGGGGAAACCGGGCAACUUGAGUGGAGAAGAGGAAGGUGGAACGCGAUGUGUAGCGGUGGAAUGCGUAGAUAUAUGGAAGAACACCGGUGGCGAAGGCAGCUGUCUGGUCUGCAACUGACGCUGAGGCUCGAAAGCAUGGGUAGCGAACAGGAUUAGAUACCCCAGUAGUC
rnacentral:rRNA from 1 species